CGAGUGCCACUUCGUGAGCGUGCGCGUUCUCGCUGCCGCCGGUGCUGCUUCCGCCGUCCUCUGCCGCUGGUACCGCUGUCGCCGCCCCGGAUCCUCAGGCCGAGCUGUAGGACGGCCGGCUGCCCAGCAGCGCCGGUACGGAGAGCCGAGCCGCGGGACCGGUGGACAGGCGGGCGGGCCGACAGAUUAAUCUAACAUGGCUGACCAGAGGCAGCGCUCACUCUCUACCUCCGGGGAAUCAUUAUAUCAUGUUCUUGGGCUGGACAAGAAUGCAACUUCGGAUGACAUUAAAAAGUCCUAUCGGAAGCUGGCCCUGAAAUAUCACCCUGACAAGAACCCCGAUAACCCAGAGGCUGCAGACAAGUUUAAGGAGAUUAACAACGCCCACGCCAUCCUGACAGAUGCCACGAAAAGAAACAUUUAUGACAAGUACGGCUCGCUGGGGCUCUAUGUGGCCGAGCAAUUUGGGGAGGAGAACGUCAACACCUACUUCGUACUCUCCAGCUGGUGGGCCAAGGCCCUGUUUGUUGUCUGUGGUCUCCUCACGUGCUGCUACUGCUGCUGCUGUUUGUGCUGUUGCUUUAACUGCUGCUGUGGGAAGUGCAAGCCCAAGGCACCUGAGGGUGAGGAGACGGAGUUCUACGUAUCACCUGAAGACCUGGAGGCACAGCUGCAGUCUGAUGAGAGGGGAGGGCACUGACACUGUGCCGAGAGUGUUUGUGGUGGCAUCUGGGACUGUUGAGGUGUGAACGUGGACACUUGAGAGGCUACAGACACACCGAUCGUCAUACAGCCUGCAUCUGCCACAGAGACCACCCAGCUGACGGCUGACUCCCACCCCAGCUACCACACCGACGGGUUCAACUAAAUUCAGGAGAGGCUGUGAUUAGAGGAUGAAUCAGCACCUGGCCACUGCAACCUUAGAAUCAUGAACUGUAGUCACUGAGAUGGGGAGGCAGCUGUCAACCUGACCUGCUGUGGCUGGUCAGGGCCCCUCCCACCUCCUCUAAGCCCACCCAUCUGUCAAACCUUGAUACAUGAAGUGCGUAGCAUGCAGUAUUUAAAGCAGUGUAGCUACGGUCUUCUGUUUUAUCCUUUUUUUAAUAGCAUGUAUGGGUUAUGUUCAGUGUCUGUGUUGUGGAUGUGCUGCAACUGGGCUGAAUUAACUGGAUGGUAGUGCUUUCUUGGGUUUUCAGCCAAGUGGGUCCAGUGAGGUUCAGCUGUCUCCUUGUGCUUACAGGAGUCAGGUAGGCACCUGGAGCUACAUCUCCAUGUUGGCCUCUGUGUCCUGUGACAUGGUCUAGUCCAUGGCUCUGAUCUCAUCCUCAAGGCUGCAGACAGGGUUCUGAUUCCACCUGCGAAGGAGGGAGCUGGGCCCCAUCCUCCCAGGCACCACCAGCAUCAGUCGUUUGCACAGUGUUCGUGUUGGGAAGCUUUCAUAGGGUCUCUGCAUCAUCACUCGGCCUCGUGACAGGUUUCCUGUGUUAGAUCUGCUAUGGAGAGUGCAGGUAUGCCCCUUCUGAAAGUGGGAGCACACUCUGUGUCAUGUUUCUAUCUUGGGUCUCCUGGCCUUGUGGACUGAGAGCCUAUCAUUGGAGCCAUGUCCCUUGCUGGUGUGUGGGAAAUCAUUUGUCUCUGUUCUGCACCUUUCCAGGUCAAAAGCUGGAUUGACGGGGCCACAGCCUCCUUCCCUCAUUCCUGGGUCAUCUUCCACAUUCCUUCAAGCCAACCUUUUAAAUCUUGUUUUUGGACUUUAGGAACCACAAAUGGUAGCACCUGUCACUUAGUCAUAGUCAGAAAGUCUUUGAGUCUUUGAGCUAUAUGUGGGUGGCAUAUAGCUGCUUGUAAAGAGUUUGAGGCCCAGGAUCCAGAACCUCCUCCCUGUGCUUGCCAGAGCUCCAUCCACCCCCCACUUGCCUUCACUUCCACUUGUCAUCAUCAAUGCCUCUGGCAGAGCUGAAGUGUUGGGUUCUUGGGGUAGGUGACUGGUCCCUGGUGACCCUGGAUCAGAAGGGUUGGCUUCUAGGGAAGCUAUGGUAACAGUCACUUGACCUGGGAUGCCAGCUGCAAGCCACAGAAUUCCUUUGUGAACCUCUCUUUAGUCAGUAUUUCAAUCUUGGUCACAGGGUACCAUGGUGGGUGGAGUUGAAAAACAUGGUUACCAGGGAUUUGGAAACACCUCCCCUCUUACAGUUAGCUGGAUUAGCUGCACCAGACUUCAAUGAGCCAGGUUCCUCCAGAGCCUUCCUGCUGGCUGCUGCUGACCAUCUGCAUUUCCAGUACAGAUGAAGAAGGAGAGAGCUCAUGUGGUGGGCUAAGUGACUCAGACAAACCACCGUGUGUUCCCGAAACUCACUCUGUCCACCUCCUGGCCACAGCUCACCAGGGCCUUCAGGGACCAGAUCAGGCUGACAGGAAGUUGCAAGAAGAGGCAGCAAACCUGGCAGUGAUUGAGGGUACCUAUCCAGGUCCUGGGAACAUUGAUGCCAGGGUUCCUAGCUGGUCCUAUAGGAGAACUGUGUGAGCCAAAAGCUGGUCUCAAGGUCCUUCCCUGGGUUUGUUUUGCUUUAAAGGAUUUUAGGGGUAUUCAUUAACAUACUCAGAAAUAAUUUGCAAACAUCGGGCCUAUGGCUAGAUGUAGUGGGACAUGCCUGUAAUCCCAGCACUAGGAUGACCUUGAGUUGUAGGCUUUGCACAGUAAGACCAUGACUCAAAUCAACCUAGUAGAAGAAUGAGAAAUUCGUUGCUGGACCCAUUGUUGGAACAGUGGAAGAAGAGAGUCCACUGGGCAAUCUGGGGUGCUGGUCUCAGUACACUAGUCUUGGUGCCCUUUUCUACAAUGACCAGGAAUCAGAUUCAGAGUUGUAGGUGAUUGGUGAGUAGAGAGCUGCAAUCUGGUAGCACAUCCCUCCUGCAUGUAGCUCUGUGGCCCUUCCCCUGACAUCCCAGUGAGCCAGGUCCUGAACUAGGACUUGUGCUGUUCGGUGAGAGCACAGAAGUUGAACCUAGUGUCUUUUGGAAUCUGUAAAGCUAAAUAAAUCAUGUUGAACUUGAAACCAUCAAUAUGUAGAACAGUUUCAAGAUGAUAAUAGUGAUUGCCAAGGCCAGUGAACUCCCUGACCUAUCCCUGUAUGCAGAUUUCUUGCAGGGUUUUUACUGUGUUGAUCUAAGGUCUCCUUGAUUUCAUUUGCCCUGACCUAAGCAUAACUGUUGAGUCUCAGGAUCAGCCUAACUAUUCCUGACCAAAUACUAUUAAGACACACACAUACUCCCCAAACUCCUGUACCAGUAAGCAAUGUGGAUGGUGCUGUGGUGUAUUGCCAAGGGAGUGUUGGAGUCUGUGCAUGGAAGUUCAUCCAGUGCAGUGGAUAUCCCUUCAGGACCACUUCUGAGAGACCCUGGGGAUCCAUCUCACCAAGGCUAGAGUGUAGAUUUCUGUUUGUGCCCAAUGAUGUGGUCUUUCUUUGUCUUCCUUUGACUGUAUUUUUAAAUUACUUUAGAUAAUUCUGUGCAAUGUUUAUAACCCUAGUCUUCUGAUGUUUGGUUAACACAGCCAGCACCCAAUGGGGACCUGUUAGAAAAAGAAAUCAGUGCUUACUCUGGUUAGCAGGAAACUUUCCCAAGUUGUUGGUUUCUGGGUUUGUUCCCAACUCAUAAAGCCAGUCAUUUCUCAGAUGUUCAGAUGCCAGGUUUUACUAACAUCAGUGCCCAUUGUCCUGCUGACCCAUGGCUUUUAUUCCAGGUGAACCUUGUGCAAAAGAGCUGCCAUUGUUGCAGCUGGUAGUCUUCAGAGAUGGUGACCUAAUCAUUCAAGCUGUCCCUGGAGGGUCUAGGUGCUGUGGUACGGAGAACUGGUGGGCCAUGACCAUCUUCCUUUGGCCUUCAGUGCACCUUUUAUUGAGGGAUAGCUGUGACAAUGUAAAACAUGACUGAUCUCAUUCUUUUUCCAGUGUUUUGAGCUGUGAACCCAUGUGUCCCAGCACUGGCCUGUUCCUGUUCCUUUUAUUUUGGUUGAGUUAUCCUCCUAUGGAAAUAGCAAAAGCUACAUCUUUACUAUCCUCACAAGCACAGUAUGUGUUGUCAUAUGCUGUGAAUGUGGGCUAUGGUGUGUGUUGGUGUGUGUACAUAUGUGUAUAUGUAUAUAUCACGCAGCAGGCCUGUCAUGCUGCUGUUUGGUGGCAAAGCAACAAGUACAAUAAAAGUCGGCUCCAAAA